rnacentral:rRNA from 1 species
GGGGCUAGCGUUGUUCGGAAUUACUGGGCGUAAAGCGCACGUAGGUGGCGACGUAAGUCGGGUGUGAAAGCCCCGGGCUCAACCUGGGAAUUGCAUUCGAGACUGCAUUGCUGGAGUACGGAAGAGGAAGGCGGAAUUCCCGGUGUAGCGGUGAAAUGCGUAGAUAUCGGGAGGAACAUCAGUGGCGAAGGCGGCCUUCUGGUCCAGUACUGACACUCAAGUGCGAAAGCGUGGGGAGCAAACAGG